UUGAAACACCAGUCCUCAUAUGAUCACCGGUUAAGCAACAUUGAGCCUGGUCAAUAUUUAGAUGGGUGACCACUUGGGAAUUUCAGGUGCUGUAAG